rnacentral:lncRNA from 1 species
AAUUAUUUUGGUUUUCCGGCAUGUAUAUUUAUAUUCUAUAAUUAUCUUGAUGCAUAAUAUUUUCCAUCUUUCUUUUUCUUCUAUUAUGAACAAUCAUGCCAUUCUAGCACUAUUUGAGAUAUAUGUUCAUAUGAUUUAUACACAUAAUUACAUAUCACCUAAUUAAUUUAUUAUAUAUUAUGGACAGUGCACAAAAACCGAGAGAAUGAGACUUUUCAACUGAGAAUAGGAGCAUAUUAUAUUGUAAUCACAAUUUCUUUUUGAAUAAUUUCUAAUUUUAUGCUUGUUUAGUUCAUGGACGAGGAUGCUGAUAUCUGUCUAUAUAUAAUACGUAUCCCACAUGAAAUGAAAGGAUUUGAUAUAAUAUCAUUCAGUCACACAAUGAGCAUAUAUGUACAAAGACCUAGUUGUUUUGUGAGGAUCAAGAUGACGAGAAACUUUGAGGUGGGGACUGAUACAUUUUGAGGAUUUAACUUUGAUUUUUCUUGGGACAUUUGUGGACCCAAAAAUAUUUCAAAGAUUUGGAACGAUAUUUUAGGAAGAUGCACAGCUUUGAUAUGAGAUAACGAUAUACAUACACCAUAUGAAAAUUAAAGAAAUGAAAUGUCUACAAAUUGGUGAUAAAUUUUAUUGGAUCCCUAUUAUAUUUUAAAUGUGAUGAACGAAGCCUAUCUCGAUUCUAAGGUUCAAUAUUUUCAGAAAAUAUCUCUAUAUGGGUACUUUGCCCAGGGAGUUUUUAUUGCCCCCACCCUAAAAAGAAGCCAAGUGCUGAGGAAUUAAUCAAAAAUGAAAAAUGUGAUUAAAUUUGCAACCAAGACCCAUGAAGUGAUGCCGAGGAACAGUUGUAUCUGUCGGAUCAUGGACCCAUUUUUUCAAGGUGCGAUAGCUAUGUCAGCUUAAAGCAUCUGUAUUUUAUAUAAACGAUCAAACUUUUGGAAAUUCGGUGUGCCAACCAACCAUUGGGUUCUUAGAGAUAGACUAUAUGAAUUUUAUUUUUCUUAAUAUAUAAUGUCUUAUCCAUCAGAUUGAUAGAAUAUAUAUGCUUUCAUAUAUGGUACCUGGAUGACUAACAAUAGUUAUUCAGCUAUAAAUAAUUGUAUGAGCAACUUUGCACAACUGAGUUUCAGUUUGCGAAAGAAUUGGAUGAGAAAAUAAAAUAAUUAAUGGAAAUAUUAUGUGGAUCUUGCAAUAUUUGCAUCCAAAAAAUCUCUUCGUACUAUAUAAGCAGCCAACAUAAUUAUUCCUCUAGCAAAAUAUACAGAUCCAAAGCUAAAGAAAAUAGGAAUUUCCAAUUGUAACAGAUUAUUUCUCUUCAAUUAUUGAGAAAAUAACAAUUAAUUGCUCCAACCCCAGAAGCAAAAUCAAUUACGCAGUUUAAGAGAGAUUCUAAAAGAUCUAUUAGAAUAUGCAUGCCAUGGGACAUGUCUUGUUAUCGAUUUCCUUGAGCUUUUCACCUUUCUCUUUGAUUUUCUCAGUUUGGUUGUUUCCAAUAAGUAGAGCACAUUAUGUCCUCUCUUAACUUUGAUGCUGAUUUUGUCGAGACUGAGUAAAAGAAAAAAAUUGAGGCAGCUCAAUAGGUUAGGAGGAUACUCCUAGUCCUAGAAAGAUAUAUAUAUAGAAGGUAUAGGCAUAUAGCUAGUAUUUAAUUUUGCAUUAUUGACUCAAUUAUAUUGGCUUUGGAGAACGUAUUGUCUGAGAGAUUUGUGACAGAGAGGGAAGAAAGUGGGAUCCUAGUUUAUUUUAAUUGUGACAUAGGUAUUGAAUUUGUCCCACGAUCGGUGCAAAGAUUUAAGAACAAUGAGGGCCCUUAAAUUUUUGCCUUUAUUCCUCCUGUAGAUAUGGACUAUAUCAUAGAAAUUUUUAGCAGAUUAUACGACUUCAAGUCAACUGAUUAUGCCUGCAAUUGAAUAUUAUGCAGAAUCUGAAUUUUUUCUGGAAUGGGGCUUUGCAUCUGCAUUUAUUUAUUAACAAUUAUUUACGCAAUUUCCUAUGCAGAUUUUCUCUAUGUAAUACAUUUACUGCCUGCUGGGGGGCCUGCUCAUUAAUUUUGCAUGCCGAAUUUGUGCCGAAACGUCAAUUCAGCAAUUUUGUUCGGCCAGUACUAUUUUACGUUCAUCGUAACGUACGCCACACACAGCAACAGGUACAUUACAAUUAAAGUAACGUAUGGGGCUCCAUUCAUGUUCACAUUGUGUGCCUGUCCAGUGUCCAUAGUCUAGGUCCAAGCUUAGCCUUGGGAAACUGUCGAUUUGAAAGAGACUGGAGGAUAAUUGCCUGCGACGUUUGUCACUUUCUUGCUUGAUUAUUCGACCUAAUCAAGUCGAGAGUUGAACUUAUUCCUAUCUAGAAGUGAAAGUUUUUGCACCUCAAAAUGGACUUUUAGAUCGGUGAGGCCAUGCUAAGAUAAGUUGCAAUAAAGGAGAAGAAUUUCUGCCUGGUCGGUGCCGAUAGCGUACGUCAAGGCAUGUGAGGCUAGAGGAGUAGAAUUUCUGUAGUUUUUUUUUUUUUUAACCCUCCUAGUUUCUUUUUCUUAGAGUUGGUUUCAAUUAUAAAAAUUAGACUGGUUGAUCAUUUUAUGGAGCAAAUUGGGUUUCAAAUGGAAUUAUAUCUAAAUAGAUCACGGACGGAAUUUUUUAAAUAUUAAUAUGUCACAACUAAAAAUAUAUUAAAAUUAACUUAAAUCAAUUUUAUUAUAAUAUCUAAUCUAAAUUCUUAUUUUAUAGUUUCAAGAUAUUUUUAUUCUCCCUAACAUCGAAGUCACAAAUUUGAUUAUCAUGUGCUAAGAACUGUCUUUUUAAAAAAUAAAAUAAAAUAAAACAAUUACUGAAAAGAAGCAGCAGCAGCAUCACGUAAUAUACUUUUUAGUUUGCUGCUGCCCCAGCCCCAGGCUCGGUGUCGUAAACGUAGAUGGGAAUCUACAGGACAUCGUAGGCAUGAAUUUGCAUUUGCUUUAUGCAUGAAAGUGACCGUGAAAUAACAAGAGAUUCUCCUGUCAAAUCCUUCACGCCCUAUCACCGCCCUAUCUCUUAAACUCACUCGUCUCCCUUUGCAGACACUUUGGAUAGGGAAGAGAAUUUCAUUAAAAUCGAUGGAUAAAAAAGACAAGUCAAAUUCACUACGGGGACCAAACGUGAUGGAUCUCUAAAAGUUUUUUAAUCUAAAGCUAAGCUAAGCUAAGCUAAAGCUUAAUCUUUCUUUUUUAUUCCUCAACUCCUAAGUCUUAUCUCCACUGCCUCCUUUUUCUCCAGCUCGGUGGUGAUUACGAACCCAUCUCGUCUUUUCUCAAAAGCAAAUCUCGUAUAUAUAAUUAAAUCACCAUGGAUUAGACAAGAUGAAGUUAAACGAUUAUCUUAGUUUCUUUUAAUUGAAAUGGGGCUUUGUUGUCGAAUAUUAGAUCUGUUCGGCUUGCUUACCAGCGAAGGUAGGCCACUGGUUCCGGAACUUUUUUGUUUUAACAUAUUCCAUGAGAACCAAAACCUUAAAAAAAAAAAAAAAAAAAAAAAAAGGUAGAAUUUUAUUUUGAGGUCAGUAUUGGUCACUCUCUUCAUAAUAUUAAUCACGUGACUAGCGUUACGUUUCUUCUGCUUGGAGAAUUCAGUAAAAAGAUUUCCUCCCUACGAAUGUGAGUAUAGUAUAUAAAUCCCUAUAAAUAAUUUAUUUUUGUUGACGCAUAUUUCUAAUCAAAUUAGAGAAUUAAUUUAUGCGGGGUGAUAUAAUAAAAAGACACAGAAAAUUAACGUGGUUCGACCUUUGACCUACGUCUACGGGUACAGAAAGAUAAAUAUUUUAUUAAGAUCGCACUUACAACUAGACUCCCUCUCUUUUUGUUCUUUUUUUUUUUUAUUCCUUACACUAUGAGAGACCUCUGCUUUUAUAGCCUUCUAUAGAUAAAGUCAUUUUCUAACUUGAACUCUAUCUAACUCUCCUAUACCUUCUAGAAUUUUAAUUACAAAAUAUUUCUGCUUUUCAUAAGUUGUAUUCGUGUCAAACUCUAUUUAAUUUGCUUCUGGGCCAAAUAAUGUCCUUAUAUUAUCCUUCAACGAUAGCACAUCUAUUUGGGCUUGGCUUUCCUUGUGCGGUCCAUAAUCUAACACUGGGUCAAGGGCUAUCUGGAUCCAUGAUUUUUGCCAUCCUUCGCUGCUGCUCCCCAUUCCUAGGAAGCCUAAUUCCUGCUCCCCAUACAUGGGGAGCAUGGCUCUACUCCCCCAUUCCUGAGGAAUAUGGUUCUGCUGCUCCCCAUUCUUGGGGAGCAUGACUUCUGGGGCUUAUGGUUGAGGGUAGAAUUCUUGCCCCUUGAGGGUAGAAUUCCUGCUCCACAUUUUUAGGGGAAGAUAUUUUGUUGGGACCCAUUUUUGGGAAAUAAUUCAUACUCCCCAAUUCUUGGAGAAGUAUAAUUUCUAAGGUUCAUUCCUGGGUAGAAUCCUUGCUCCCCAUUCUUGGGAGAGCAUACUUUUUGGGGCUUCAUUCUUAAGGUAGAAUCCAUGCUCACAAUUCUUGGGGGAGCAUACUUUAUGGGGCCCCAUUCGUAGAAGUAGAAUCUCUACUCCCCGUUCUUAGGAGAAUAUAUUUUCUGGGUCCCGUUCCUGAGAGUAUAUCAUUUCUCCCUAUUCUUGAGGAGUGUAAUUUCUGGAGGCAAUUAUUGACUAUUUUAUAUUUUCUACAACAAUUUUAAUGACAUGUUUAAUUUGAAAAAAUAAAAGAUAAAGAGAGAAUAUAAAAGAAGAAUGAUUAAAAUACACAUAUAUAUAUAUAUAUAAAGAUAAAAAAAUAAAUUUCAUAUUAAACCAAACAAAUGAAAUCCAUUCUCCUUUACUCUCAUUUUUUCAAUUAAAGAUGAACUUAAGGCGUGCAUCACAUAUCUUUUCAUGCGUACAAACCAGAAUUCAACAAUAAUUCAACUCUUUCCAUGUAAUAAAUAAAGGAGUUUAUUGUAAAUCUAAACAUGUGGACUGCAUUAUUACAGUAUCUUCGAGUUUGCUAAGUUAUGUAUAAAGUAUGUUUGAUUCCUUGGCCAGAAAAUUAGGUUUAUGGGAAUAUGUGACCCUUAAAGUUGUAUAAUUUUGGUUGCUGCGUAAAUCUUAACGACAUGGUCCCUGCAGGGACCCCCCUCCUGGCUGGGCAACCAUUUUUAUUGAUUUAUUUUACAUUAUAAAUUAGAUCAUUUAAUAAAUAAAGAUCCUUUAAUAAAUAAUUAACUGAUGGCGUCUAAUGAUUUUUUUUUUUUAUAAUUGAGUCCUAAAUAUGGGGUUUUAAUUGUCGGAUAUUAAUUCUGAUUUAGACUAAUUGGCUUCUGGUAAAGGUAGGCCUCUGCUCCUGGAUUUCCGUAACAACUUGGAUUCCUUCAAUCUCAGAAUUAAAAUCUGAAAAAAAGAGUAGGAAAAAUCCUUUUUAACUUAUCUGACCUCUCUUGAUAAUUUUAAUUCUGAUUUUUUUUCAAAUCUUGGGUAAAGAAAAAUUUUGAGUUAAAGAAAAAUCCGUAACACGUGGUUAUUGCCAACGUUAUAUUCUACUGCAAUUGCAAUAGUAACUUAAUCCCUUGGAUGCAUAAGUUUGAAACUCAAAGCUUUUUUGAUAGGAGUUUAUUUGACUUUUGGUUUUGGGGUAGAAUAGAUUUUUCUUCUGUAUUAAAGUAAGAGUAGUUGUUCGGACUGUGCCAUACUAUUAUUAUAAAAGAGAGUUUUAAUUAAUAUCUGAUUAUAAAAAUAUCAGUAGAGUUCUAAUUAUAAUAUAUUAGUAUAUUAAAAAAAUAAUAACCUAAUCGUGUUACAAGGCUAUCUUAAACUCAAUUGUAUAAGGAAACUUCUUAGAGUUUUCGAUAAUUAAUUUCCACUAAUAUUGCUAGCUAGACAUCACAAACUUUAAUUCAAAAUUUUAAUCUCAAAUCUUGGGUAAAAUUUUCACCAUAAAGAAAAUUUUUAGGGUAAAAUUUGGGACGUUAGAAUUUCAGAUAGGCAUCACCUGAUACUAAUAACGAAUUCAUUUCAGCUGUGUAAUAUGUCUAAUUUUACUAUUAACCAGGGAUGAUUAUUUUUAAAAGCGUUUUGUAUAUAUUUUACAAAAUCAUUUCACUUAUUAUUACUUAAUUUUGUAAGAAAACAGCCUCAUAACUCUUCAUGUAAAAGCGCAUAGUAACAAGCAUUGAACCGAACACGAUGAAGCAAAUAAACAAAACGCUGCUUCCGAUUUUCCAAAGACACUUUUGUUGUUAAGACUUAAGAGUACAGGCAGAAUUCAUCAACUUCAGACGAACAUGAAAGCAAUACAGGAUUUCCAGUUGCUGCAUAUUUUGCAAGUGUAGGCCUUUUGACAUCCCUCAGAACUCCUUUUAAAAUUCCCUUUUAAUUAAAAUGACCUAAAUACAAUUUAAUUCAUUUCUUAUAUUUUAAACAUAAUUUCAAUUAAACACUUAAAUAAAUUAUUCUUUUAAUAAAAAUUUUACCCCCAUCCCCAUUUCAUCACUGAUAUUUAUAUUUUAAUUUUAAUAAAAAUAAUUUUUUGAGAAAAUUAUAAUCGCUAAUUAGAAUUAUGGAAGUACAAAUUUAUUAUUAUACUCAUCUUUUUACUAAACUCGACCCGAUGACAUAAAUGAAUGGGCCUUUGAGCCUGAGGACCCACAUCUAAUAACAUGUCCUAAUCUAAACAGAAUUAAACAAUACAAGUCAUGAUUCUCGCCAAACUCAAAUCUUACAAGAUAAAAGAUAAGUCUUUCUUACUUAAUCAUACUUUUGAUUAGAUAUCUUAUAUUAAGAGGUCAUUAGUCCAAAACAAUAUAUGAGAAAUAGGUAUAUUGCAGGACGAUUAUACUAUCCUCCAAGCCUUUCUCUUACUCUCUCUUCUCUCUCUCUCUUAUUAUUUAUUUUUUAUCGUGUUACUUUCGAUCUCUGACUUAAGCAUCAAAGAGUAUACGUCAGUAACACCCUUGGCGACCAUUGAUGGGUUAUUGUUUUGUAAGAUUCUGAUCACUGAGAUCUUCAUUCUCAACAAUGGCUAUGAAGCUCUCUUACAGUUUGUUCACAGAGUAAAACAAUUUUUUUCUAACUCUUAUUGUCGAUCUAUAUUUUGGUAUCAACAUAUACAAUAAUAAGAAAAUAAUUUAAGAUUUUAGGUUUA